rnacentral:rRNA from 1 species
UACGGGGGGGGCAAGCGUUGUUCGGAAUUACUGGGCGUAAAGGGCUCGUAGGCGGCCAACUAAGUCAGACGUGAAAUCCCUCGGCUUAACCGGGGAACUGCGUCUGAUACUGGAUGGCUUGAGGUUGGGAGAGGGAUGCGGAAUUCCAGGUGUAGCGGUGAAAUGCGUAGAUAUCUGGAGGAACACCGGUGGCGAAGGCGGCAUCCUGGACCAACACUGACACUGAGGAGCGAAAGCCAGGGGAGCAAACGGG